rnacentral:ncRNA from 1 species
UUCAGCAGACACGGGAGUCCCGGGAGCGGGGACUGAGAGUGGGCGCGCACCGGCCUUGACCGUCGUACCUGAUCCGGGUCAUGCCGGCGAAGGGAGAGGAAGAAUGGGCAGU